GAUAAUAUUGGGCAAACCCGUACGAAAGACGGGGGCGCAAAGCCGUGGGUCUACGAAUUAGUGACCAGUGGCCGGUGACUAUGUGGCUACUGACCACUGAUUUAUGACAGCCUGGUUGCCGCA
rnacentral:ncRNA from 1 species